AUUAUAUUAUAUUAUUAUAUAUUAUUUAUUUAAGCACUAAACACUAUAAUGUUACCAAUCCAAUCCUUUUCCCCGCUUAUAUUAGUCCGUCCUCCUUCGGUCCCUUUCCCAUCCUUCUGCCGCCUGACAUAUGGCUCCACCGCUCGCCUCUUCCGCGCUCUCCUCCCCGUCCUUCUCCUCCUUCUCCCUCACGGCCGCCUCCUCCUCCUCCUCCUCCUCCUCCCCGUCCGGAAGAAACUUCCUUGUCUGCGGCGGCGUCUCCUCCCGCCGCCUCUCAUCGGCGAUGACGGCGACGACCGGUACCUUCGGCUUCGACAGCCUCAAGGACACCUUCUCGGUCGACGUCGGCCGCGCGGAGGGUCGGGCCCUCGACGUCCCGCUCGUCGCGCCCUUCACCAUCGCCUCGUCCUGCCUCGACGCCGUCGCCAACGUGGCCGUCCGCGUGGAGCUCCGCAGCGGCGCCGUCGGUUGGGGGGAGGCGCCCGUGCUGCCCUCCGUCACUGCCGAGGACCAGCCCGUCGCCCUCGCCGCCGCCGCCGAGGCCUGCGCCUUUCUCGUCCGCAGCCCGCCCACCACACUUGGCGCCGCCCUCGCCGACCUCGCCCGUCUCCUCCCCGGCCACCAAUUUGCUUCGGUCAGAGCAGCUGUUGAGAUGGCACUGAUCGAUGCGGUUGCUAAUAGCAUUUGCAUUCCUUUGUGGAGCUUGUUUGGCGGAGUGUCGGAUUCUAUAACAACUGAUAUAACAAUUCCUAUCGUAUCUCCCAGUGAAGCUGCUGAAUUAGCUGCAAAGUACCGUAAACAAGGGUUUAGCACCUUAAAGCUCAAGGUGGGUAAAAACUUGAACUCAGAUAUUGAAGUAUUGAGAGCGAUUCGGUCUGUUCAUCCUGAUUGCUUGUUUAUAUUGGACGCAAAUGAAGGAUAUACAGCUUAUCAAGCAAUUGAAGUUCUUGAUAAGCUCCAUGAAAUGGGGGUUACUCCUAUUCUCUUUGAGCAACCUGUUCAUAGAGAUGAUUGGGAAGGUCUUCGUCACGUUAGUUAUGUGGCAAAAGAGAAAUAUAGCGUAGCUGUUGCUGCAGAUGAAAGCUGUCGAAGUUUACUUGAUGCAGAGAAAAUCAUACAAGGGAAUCUAGCUCAUGUUAUCAAUAUCAAGCUGGCCAAGUUAGGGGUUCUUGGGGCUCUUGAGAUUAUUGAUGUUGCAAGAAAAGCGGGGACUGCACUUAUGAUUGGGGGUAUGGUUGAGACAAGGCUAGCAAUGGGCUUCGCUGGUCAUCUUGCUGCUGGGCUUGGUUGCUUUAGUUUUAUUGACCUUGAUACACCUCUUCUUCUAUCUGAGGAUCCAGUUAUUGGAGGUUAUGAAGUUUCUGGUCCCGUCUACAAGUUCACUAAUGCCAGAGGUCAUGGUGGUUUUCUUCAUUGGGACAACAUUGCUUGGUGAGUCCUGUAUCGAUUUUCAGCUUAUAAAUAAAGCGUCUACAAGUUCACUAAUGCCAGAGGUCAUGGUGGUUUUCUUCAUUGGGACAACAUUGCUUGGAGGGCUCUCAACAAUACAAAUACAUGGUUCUUAAAGCCUUCUGGGGGAGAUAUUUGGAUGAAUAGAAAAUUCUACCCUCACUCUUUAUCCUUGGUGUUCUACUUUCCGACGAGAUCAUCGACGCUUCUUCCUCACGCCGAGAUCGUUUUCUUCCUCAACUUGAUCGUUGUCGCUUCUUCCUGGUGACAAGAUCGGCUUCUAUUUCUACCCCUCAUCUUGUUCUUCUCCGUUGCCGAAGUUCUACCCGUGGUGUACCGCCCUUCUCGUUGAUCAUGGAUCCCCCGCAAUCGUGUGAACGGUGCACUUUUUGUAUCUUUCAACAUCUCCUGAUAUCCUAUUAUCCCAUUUAAUCUAGCCUUCUACCAUUACCAACUAUAUUUGCCAAAAAAUCAAACCUAAAGCUGUAAGUCCAAUGAAGCCGAAUUUACCUUUUAGAAUUAUUAUAUGUAUUUUCAGUUGGUUGUUAUUAUAUCAUAUAUUGAAGGUUUAUCAUCAUUUUAGUAUUACUUCAA